GGUUCGAUGGCGUAGUUGGUUAUCGCAUCUGUCUAACAUUUUCAACACCCAUUGCGACUUGCACACAGAAGGUCCCCGGGUCGAAUCA